GGAAAGAAAGGAAAUGGUGUGUUGGACCAUGACUGUUCAGAUGGUUUGGACUCAGUUCUGCAUGAUUACAUACAGGGAUUGCCUGUGCUUCUGAGCCGCAGUCCCACUUCCUCCAGGCCAUUUCCUUCAAACUCUGCAGGACUACUUCUCCAUCCAUCCACCUGACUCCCAUCUCAACCUGCACACCUGUUCCUCAUUCCACAGUUACCCCACAGUAUUCAUACCAGACCAUUUCCAUCUGCUAUUUACCAGAUUGUCAAUGUUUCUUUGUGCAUUUAGUUUACAGACACCUGGACCCUGGACCCAAAUUCUGAUUGGUCUGAUAGGUCUGCCUUUCAUGCAAGAGAUCUAAAGUUUCAUCCCAUUACAGACCCGCACCUUAAAGAGGAUAUAUAUAUACAGUUCAUUUUCAGGUUUCAUAUUUGUAUUUUGUGCCUCUACUGUGACAUGUGCCCAUGAUUUAAUGUUAUGAAAUCAUUGUUUUCAUACUGCCUGUGCUAAAGGACCUCCUUUUACCCUCUGUCUGAAACCAUAAUAAUAACACGCUAAACUAAGAUAGUGAACAUAGAAAACAUCAUGAUAGACUUAAUGUUAGCAUUUACCUAAAAUGCCUGGUGCCUAUGCGUCACCAAGAUGCUAGCAUGACUGCAGACUCUAAAAACUAAACACGUUUUAUUUCAUGAUAAUUAAAGUAAAAGAUUGUGAACUGAGUAAUAUUCAGGCAAUUUGAGAGCAGGGUUGUUGUUGUUGUUGUUGUUGCUGCAGUAGAUUAAUCUCAUUGACUAAAGACAUGUGCUCAUGUAUCUGCCACCUGUGUGUGAUCUGCUGCUGACAUUAAGCGUGUUAAUAGCAUUUAUUCUUCUGUAUUAAUCGGUGCAAAGUUCCACAUUUCUAUUCUGUUUAUGAUUGUACACAGAAUGUUUUUUACCUUUUUUAAUUUAGAAAACGCAAUAAUUUGAAGGCCUCAAGGGCACUUUGAGAUAAAAGAAAACAAGGAGUUAACCAAUAAAUGAAUCACUGUU